rnacentral:rRNA from 1 species
GAAUUGCAGAAUUCCGCGAAUCAUUGAGUUUUUGAACGCAAGUUGCGCCCGAGGCUCGUCCCGAGGGCAUGCCCGCCUGAGCGUCCG